rfam:Camelus ferus unplaced genomic scaffold scaffold113366, whole genome shotgun sequence.
GAAGGUAUAGCUCAGUGGUAGAGUGAGUGCUCAGUAUGCACGAGGUCCUGGGUUCAAUCCCCAGUCCCUCUA